rnacentral:rRNA from 1 species
GAGUUUGAUCAUGGCUCAGAUUGAACGCUGGCGGCAGGCCUAACACAUGCAAGUCGAACGGUAACAGGAAGCAGCUUGCUGCUUCGCUGACGAGUGGCGGACGGGUGAGUAAUGUCUGGGAAGCUGCCUGAUGGAGGGGGAUAACUACUGGAAACGGUAGCUAAUACCGCAUAAUGUCGCAAGACCAAAGAGGGGGACCUUCGGGCCUCUUGCCAUCGGAUGUGCCCAGAUGGGAUUAGCUUGUUGGUGGGGUAACGGCUCACCAAGGCGACGAACCCUAGCUGGUCUGAGAGGAUGACCAGCCACACUGGAAGUGAGACACGGUCCAGACUCCUACGGGAGGCAGCAGUGGGGAAUAUUGCACAAUGGGCGCAAGCCUGAUGCAGCCAUGCCGCGUGUAUGAAGAAGGCCUUCGGGUUGUAAAGUACUUUCAGCGGGGAGGAAGGGAGUAAAGUUAAUACCUUUGCUCAUUGACGUUACCCGCAGAAGAAGCACCGGCUAACUCCGUGCCAGCAGCCGCGGUAAUACGGAGGGUGCAAGCGUUAAUCGGAAUUACUGGGCGUAAAGCGCACGCAGGCGGUUUGUUAAGUCAGAUGUGAAAUCCCCGGGCUCAACCUGGGAACUGCAUCUGAUACUGGCAAGCUUGAGUCUCGUAGAGGGGGGUAGAAUUCCAGGUGUAGCGGUGAAAUGCGUAGAGAUCUGGAGGAAUACCGGUGGCGAAGGCGGCCCCCUGGACGAAGACUGACGCUCAGGUGCGAAAGCGUGGGGAGCAAACAGGAUUAGAUACCCUGGUAGUCCACGCCGUAAACGAUGUCGACUUGGAGGUUGUGCCCUUGAGGCGUGGCUUCCGGAGCUAACGCGUUAAGUCGACCGCCUGGGGAGUACGGCCGCAAGGUUAAAUCUCAAAUGAAUUGACGGGGGCCCGCACAAGCGGUGGAGCAUGUGGUUUAAUUCGAUGCAACGCGAAGAACCUUACCUGGUCUUGACAUCCACGGAAGUUUUCAGAGAUGAGAAUGUGCCUUCGGGAACCGUGAGACAGGUGCUGCAUGGCUGUCGUCAGCUCGUGUUGUGAAAUGUUGGGUUAAGUCCCGCAACGAGCGCAACCCUUAUCCUUUGUUGCCAGCGGUCCGGCCGGGAACUCAAAGGAGACUGCCAGUGAUAAACUGGAGGAAGGUGGGGAUGACGUCAAGUCAUCAUGGCCCUUACGACCAGGGCUACACACGUGCUACAAUGGCGCAUACAAAGAGAAGCGACCUCGCGAGAGCAAGCGGACCUCAUAAAGUGCGUCGUAGUCCGGAUUGGAGUCUGCAACUCGACUCCAUGAAGUCGGAAUCGCUAGUAAUCGUGGAUCAGAAUGCCACGGUGAAUACGUUCCCGGGCCUUGUACACACCGCCCGUCACACCAUGGGAGUGGGUUGCAAAAGAAGUAGGUAGCUUAACCUUCGGGAGGGCGCUUACCACUUUGUGAUUCAUGACUGGGGUGAAGUCGUAACAAGGUA